ensembl:lncRNA
GGAGAGCAGAGGGAAGAAUCAAGACAGAGAGGGUGGGUGGGGUGGGGAGGGGGAUGCGGCGGCUGCCUGUGGGAACAACCGGCUCUUCCAGGGAAGCGGAGCGGGACCGCCGCGUUCCCCUCGAUUUGCACCGUCACUCGGGCUGUUGGGAAGGCAGAGGGGAGGCGCUCUGCGUGCCUCCGUGUACCUGGAUCUGAGUGCAGAAGUGUGUGUGAAUGCCUGUGCCUCUGUGUGAGUUUUCAGGGCUUUGGUAGCGUCCGGAGCGAAUUCGAGGGGGUGGGGUGACCUCCAGAAACUCGCAGAAACUGGAAGGGGGCGAGAGAAGGGUACAUCCCUUUCCUCGGAAGGACUUGGAAGACUUUGACUCUCCCUCCCCACCCCCCCUUUCCGCCCCGGCUCUUCUUUUGUUGUCAAGUCCUUUGAUAAAUGGUGGGGCUGGGAGCGCUGGGGAGCCGGGAGCCAGUCUGUACCCGCGCGGGGGGGCGGAGGCGGGGGCCGGGCCUUGAGACCCGGUUUCCACCCUCGCUCACCCGGUCGGUGCCCCGUCGGCGCCGAAGUCGGGUCUGGGACCUGCCCUUGGCGUGCUCGCGGUCUCCUCUCACCACCCCAUCCCUCCCUCCCUCAUUUCUGUCUCUGUCUCCCUCCGCACAGGUACCGAGAACUUUCUAGGGGUGAGUUUUAGAAUUUCUCGUAGGCAUUCUUUCUAUGCGUUUUAAUUUUAUCCCUUGAUUCUUUAGAUUGGUAAACUUCAUGAGAUGGUAACUUGACUAAAGAUACUUGGGAGAAGCGGGGAGUGAGGCGGUGUGUAUAAAAGGAGUUUGUCGGUGUAUGUGUUUAGGUGUAAGAACACACCUCCGUUCAAGGGGCUUUGGAGUGUCUGCCGGUGCGACAACGGAGGAAGGCCUAAAUGCGCACUGCUCGAGCCUGGUGGAGCCAGAAUUAAGGUGUGCUUGAAGUGUCCGAGGGGGAGGAGCUGCCCGCAGGACCUGAGGCCCUGGUACCCGGAGUGCUGGCUUCAGUGCUUCGGAAUCUUCACGCGUUAUCUGGGAGAACCCCCAAGGUGCGGCAUUGUUGCCUGUUCCGGCGGAGACUCUCCCAGUAGUCGCCCCAAGGUCCGAGGCAGCGGGUAUCCCAAUAGAGCCCACCUCAGCUUGCUGAGCGCCCGUAGCUGCAGAACCUGUGGCCCCUACCACGCGUUCCCGAAAGCCCCCCCCCCCCAUUUGUGCACACUUUCCACAGCCAACCUAGUAGUAAUAUUUAUUUCCUUACCUAGAAAUAUUGUAUCCGUGCAGUGGCUCAAUUAUCUGCGCGCCUGCUUUUUAAAAAUGUAUUUAUAUCACUUCUGCCACGCCGCAGAUAUUUAAAUAAAGAGGUACACAUACCGCGGCACACCUCGACGAUGCGGAACUCGCUCUGUCUGUAGAAUAUAUUCACUGGGUGGUUAUUUGGACGUAAGCGCUAUCUCGAGCCCAGAUUACACCCAAGCAGAGGCUGUAAAAUGACACUUGCUCCAGAAUUUUCCCAAUUUAACUAUAUGUGCACACACCGAGAAUUUAAUACUAUUUUAUAUCCCUCUACAUAUCUAAAUAUUCAGAUGUUAUGUUACAUGCCCUUGAAGCCGGAAGCAAUCCUGCAGUUCACACUGGACUUGGAGCUGUUUGUAUAAUUUUCAUCACCCUGCACUUACAGAUGAAUCUUAAUCUAAUAAAUUCAACCUUGUCAUUUUUAGAAUCGACGUAAUUCCUCUGGCUGCGGGUGCGCUGCGUGUAUCAGAAUAAAUCCAGCUCUCAGGCAUCCAGCAGGAAACGGCUCCCGGUUCCCGGGUGUGGAGACGCCCCAUCCGCCCAGCUCAGGACGCGAGGUGGCUCCUCGUGCCCAGAAGGCUGCAGGUCUGGCCUCCGAGGGAGGCUGGACUAUCAGCGCCCUCGGCCUUAGCAGUCUCUCCCGGUGGGCAGUGCCCGGCAGCCCCCACCUUCUGCCGGUGCUUCGGAAACCCGCCGGGGCCGAGUCCGCCCGGGGCGAAAAUUGAAAGCAAAUUCCACGGCAGACGGAGCUCGAACUUUCUUCAAAGCAAGUUUGCAGCAGAGAUUCGGUGGUCGCUUUGAGACGACAGCGCGCUUUAGGGGUGUGUCCGAGCGCAAAGUGGGGAGGUGGGCAAAGAGGGUACCUGGUGGCCGAGCUUGGUCCCCGGCGAAACGCGAAGGAAGGCGCCUCCCUUUCCUUAUUUCUCGCCAACUUCUCGGGCCCUGCCCCGAAAGAAAUAGUUUCCA